GAUGAACGCUGGCGGCGUGCCUAAUACAUGCAAGUCGGAUGAGGAGUUCUUGUGUUCGCAUGAGGACCUCCUAGUGGCGAACGGGUGAGUAACGCGUUGGUGACCUGCCCCGAAGAGGGGAAUAACCCCGGGAAACUGGGGCUAAUACCCCAUGUGGUCGUGAGAGUUAGAGGUCUCAUGAUUAAAUGGAGCAAUCCGCUUCGGGAGGGGCCUGCGUCCCAUCAGCUAGUUGGUAGGGUAACGGCCUACCAAGGCUAUGACGGGUAGGGGACCUGAGAGGGUGACCCCCCACACUGGCACUGAAACACGGGCCAGACUCCUACGGGAGGCUGCAGUCGAGAAUCUUCCUCAAUGGCCGCAAGGCUGAAGGAGCGACGCCGCGUGCAUGAAGAAGCCCUUCGGGGUGUAAAGUGCUUUUAUUAGGGAAGAAACAAUGACGGUACCUAAUGAAUAAGGGGCUGCUAAACUCGUG
rnacentral:rRNA from 1 species